rnacentral:rRNA from 1 species
GGCGUGCCUAACACAUGCAAGUCGAGCGAUUUACUUCGGUAAAGAGCGGCGGACGGGUGAGUAACGCGUGGGUAACCUGCCCUGUACACACGGAUAACAUACCGAAAGGUAUGCUAAUACGAGAUAAUAUACUUUUAUCGCAUGGUAGAAGUGUCAAAGCUCUGGCGGUACAGGAUGGACCCGCGUCUGAUUAGCUAGUUGGUAAGGUAACGGCUUACCAAGGCGACGAUCAGUAGCCGACCUGAGAGGAUGAUCGGCCACAUUGGAACUGAGACACGGUCCAAACUCCUACGGGAGGCAGCAGUGGGGAAUAUUGCACAAUGGGCGAAAGCCUGAUGCAGCAACGCCGCGUGAGCGAUGAAGGCCUUCGGGUCGUAAAGCUCUGUCCUCAAGGAAGAUAAUGACGGUACUUGAGGAGGAAGCCCCGGCUAACUACGUGCCAGCAGCCGCGGUAAUACGUAGGGGGCUAGCGUUAUCCGGAAUUACUGGGCGUAAAGGGUGCGUAGGUGGUUUCUUAAGUCAGAGGUGAAAGGCUACGGCUCAACCGUAGUAAGCCUUUGAAACUGGGAAACUUGAGUGCAGGAGAGGAGAGUGGAAUUCCUAGUGUAGCGGUGAAAUGCGUAGAUAUUAGGAGGAACACCAGUUGCGAAGGCGGCUCUCUGGACUGUAACUGACACUGAGGCACGAAAGCGUGGGGAGCAAACAGGAUUAGAUACCCUGGUAGUCCACGCCGUAAACGAUGAGUACUAGCUGUCGGAGGUUACCCCCUUCGGUGGCGCAGCUAACGCAUUAAGUACUCCGCCUGGGAAGUACGCUCGCAAGAGUGAAACUCAAAUGAAUUGACGG